rnacentral:rRNA from 1 species
AACGAACGCUGGCGGCAUGCCUAACACAUGCAAGUCGAACGAGACCUUCGGGUCUAGUGGCGCACGGGUGCGUAACGCGUGGGAACCUGCCCUUAGGUUCGGAAUAACUCCCCGAAAGGGGUGCUAAUACCGGAUAAUGUCUUCGGACCAAAGAUUUAUCGCCUUUGGAUGGGCCCGCGUUGGAUUAGCUAGUUGGUAGGGUAAAAGCCUACCAAGGCGACGAUCCAUAGCUGGUCUGAGAGGAUGAUCAGCCACACUGGGACUGAGACACGGCCCAGACUCCUACGGGAAGCAGCAGUGGGGAAUAUUGGACAAUGGGCGAAAGCCUGACCCAGCAAUGCCGCGUGAGUGAUGAAGGCCUUAGGGUUGUAAAGCUCUUUUACCCGGGAUGAUAAUGACAGUACCGGGAGAAUAAGCUCCGGCUAACUCCGUG